CGCACGACCACUGACUAUAUAAUGCGUGGUCGCCUGCUCGCUCUUCCCAGUUCCUUCUUCUUUCUGCAGGUAUGUGGGCUGUUGGGAAAUUGAGCUUUGUUCCAUCGCAUACUCAGAUCUUGACCAUGCUAAAACCUAAUGGAUAACCUCCAUUCCCCAGGCUUUGUUUCAUGAGUCCUACACACUCUCAAACGGAUCAUGCUUGGACCAAAUGGAUAACCUUUUGAUCUGGCUUAAUUUCUUAAGUCCUACACACUCUCAAACAGAUCAUGCUUGGACCAAAUGGAUGAAACCGGUUGAGCUGUCUUAAUUUCACAAGUCCUAUACUCAAACAGCUCAACGUAGGUAAUUCAAGAGGACCUUUACAUGAGUGAACUUUGGAUGGCAACAUGUUGAGGGCUUUGAGAUAUUUGUACCCCGAUGGCCAAUCAGUGCCGAAUCUACAUGGAGAAGUGGGUGAAGUGUGUAAUGGCUCUCUCUGCCAAGCAGCCCACAUUUACCAUUGAGGGAGGAAAAAAAAAAACCUUUUCCCCAAUAAACCGGAACCAUCAGC